rnacentral:tRNA from 1 species
AGAAAAGUAAUUUAAUUAAAAUAUAAGGUUUCAAACCUUAGUAUGCAGAGCUUGUGCCUUUUCUG